rnacentral:rRNA from 1 species
AGGACAAACGCUGGCGGCGUACCUAAGACAUGCAAGUCGAACGGAGCUUCCAGCUUCGGCUGGGAGUCGAGUGGCGAACGGGUGAGUAACACGUAGGAACCUAUCAUCGAGUGGGGGAUACCGCUGGGAAACCGGCGUUAAGACCGCAUGAGGUCCCCGAGCAAUCGGGGAGCAAAGCUGGAAACGGUGCUGGAUGAGGGGCCUGGCGGCCGAUUAGCUGGGUUGGUGGGUAACGGCCUACCGAAGGCGACCAUCGGUAGCUGGU